rnacentral:rRNA from 1 species
UACGGAGGGUGCAAGCGUUAUCCGGAUUUACUGGGUUUAAAGGGUGCGUAGGUGGGCAGGUAAGUCAGUGGUGAAAUCUUCAAGGCUUAACUUGGAAACUGCCAUUGAUACUAUUUGUCUUGAAUUAUCUGGAGGUAAGCGGAAUAUGUCAUGUAGCGGUGAAAUGCUUAGAUAUGACAUAGAACACCCAUUGCGAAGGCAGCUUACUACGGAUAUAUUGACACUGAGGCACGAAAGCGUGGGGAUCAAACAGG